rnacentral:misc_RNA from 1 species
AGAAACUAAUGGCUGAAGGAAUGCAAAAUGCCAGUCAGGCUCUUCUUUCUGGAUGCUCUGCUGGAGGUCUGGCAUCCAUAUUACACUGUGAUGAGUUCGGGGACUUGUUUCCACAAUCAACCAAAGUGAAAUGCUUAAGUGAUGCUGGACUGUUUCUUGAUGUAAUUGAUGUGUCCGGUAACCACACGCUACGGAAUAUGUAUGAGGGUGUAGUUACCAUGCAGGAAGUGCAAAAGAAUCUGCCAAGUACUUGUGUCAGCCACCUGGAUCCAACUUCGUGCUUCUUCCCCCAGAAUUUGAUUGCAAAUUUUAGAACUCC